rnacentral:lncRNA from 1 species
ACGUAUCUUAAAAUUUGCUUUUCAUCAAACGUAUUUGAACAUAGAACUAUUCUGUUUUAAUCGCGAUUAUGCAUAUAAUUGGUUGAUGAAAAAAUCUAUUUUGGCAGCUACAUCUUUUACAGGUAAUUUUGAUAUUGAUUUGCAGGUUGAAGGAAUUCAUUAAGGAACAAUUAAUAGUCAUCCCAACAGUGACCCAUGCACCAACUCAAGCACCUCCUGGCCCACCUCCCUUGGCUCAACCGGCUAGUAAUCCGGCAGCAUUGACAGAUCCUGGGGCAAUGCUUGCUGCUCUUCUAUGACAAUACAAAGAUGAUUGAUUCAUGGCAGUGUUUAUUACAUACUUAUAAACCUUAUCUACAUAGCCUAACCCACUCAUGUGGUCCCUCAAGCUAGUGUGGGGUGGAUAAACUAAAUCAUGAUGCAAGGGCUGGCGGAAUUAAGCGUGGGUGAGGGUGAGGGUGAGCUUGUACUUGUUACUUGUUAGAGCAGGGAUUUGUGGGUUAUGUUGGGAAUUUUUUAGGGAUUCUUUCUGCACAAAGUGAUUGUCCUUUAAGCGAGAUUUUAUAUCAUUUGGGUGAGGGUUUUUAGUUUUCUUAUAUUUUUACCCCUUCCCUGUUUUGCUGGAUUGUUUGUGGUGCAAGUGAUAGCGCGUAAGAUAUUUGUUGGAUAGGAAGGACAUUUGUAACAGUUUGAAUUUGUUAUUCUUAAGUUGUUGUAGUUGCAAUAAUAGCAAGUGGAGUAUACAUAUCUUGCUUUAUAAUGCUUAGGGCUUCACUUUCAACAGAUUGUGUAUUAAAAUCUUACUCAUCAACGUGUAUUAAAAUCUUAAUGUAGAUGAGAGUAUAUUCUGGUAUGUGUGAAGUGGACUAGUGGAAUUGUGUGGAGGGAUGAUUAUUACAUAAAUAAUUUGAGGUAUGUUUCAUGUAUCUAUUCUCGGUUACCUGUGGAAGUAGUACUAGGAUGAAGUACUUAGUUUCUUAAACAGAAGGAAAAGGCUGAUAAAAUUAUUCAAAAUCUAUAUCCCAUCAAAAUUCACAAAAAAUAUAUUGUUAUACCAAAAAAAAUGAAUUUAAAUAAAUAUAAUAAUAAGAGUAAAUUAAUUAACACCCUCAAAGUUUUAGUGAAAUUAUACAAAUUACCCUUUAUUACAUUAUUUUAUUUAUAAUUACCCAACAACAAAUUUAUAUUUUUUAUUUAUAAUUGAUUUCUAAUAUUUAUAAUAAAUUAUAACAACUUUAAUCGGUUAAUAACUAAAUAAGUAAUUAUUCUUAGAGUAAAUUAUAUUGACAUUAUCUAAGUUUUAGUGAAAUUAUAUGAAUCAUUCCUCACUUUUCUACACUCACACAAACUCCCCUAGGUUUUAUACUUUCAUUGUGCUGACUAUUCUACAUAAGAAAUAAGUGUAAUUUUCUAAACAAAAAAAUAUGAUAAAUGUAAUUAAGUUAAACAAAACAUGAUAUAUUGUUAAGACAUAUUUCUUUUUUAUUUGGACUGGGAAAUGAUCUCCUUUUUAAAGAAUAAUUAUGUUUUUAACAUUUAAACAAUUCUUCCAGUUUAAAAAGUAGAUAAAUUAUCACUUUUUUGGUAGAAAAUAAAAAUAUAAACUGUCCAAGAGCUCAACAAAGAAAAAAUAUAUGUGGUUUUGGUGUCGUGUGUAGUAUCAUGGCUUAUUAUUUGUCAAAAUAUUAAUUCUUUUUACCAUUUUCUUAAAAAAAUAUUAUACGCCCUUUAAAGUUUUAAUUUUUUUACACAAAUGCAUAACUAAAUACCUUUUUUACAUAUUUCAAAGUACAAUACUUACUCAUGUAUUAGCCAUCCAAUUAUGUACUUUUGUGACCAAAACUGCCAUCUCACUGAUUAGGAAAGAGAUUAAUUUCUCAACAUACAGUCAGAAGACUUCCUCCGACUCGUUCAUUCAAUUUAGCUCGAUCAUGUUUGGACCUAAAUAUAGUUGAAUUUUAUUGAGUUUAAAUUCAAAAGUUUGACUCGAAUAAUAUUUGUGGCCGGGUAAGGACAAAUAUGAUCCGACUCAUGAUCACUCGUUCAUCGUAUUUGUAUGUGUGUUUAUUCAAUUGUGUAUAGAGUAAUACAUUUCUUUGGUCCGGAGUAUUAUUCAUUUUCUAACUUUUUCUCAUGUAUACAUGAUUACCAAAAUAUCUAUGUAUAUGUAUCAUUUCACAUGACAAAUUAUAGAUCCAUAAUAAUAAAUAAUAUUAAUAGAAUUUUAUUUAAAAUCACUAUGUAUUAUAUUUAAUCCGGUCUAGAGUUGAGCUCAAAUCCAAAGAUUGACUCAAUUAUAUUUAAAAUCAGAUUAGUUUCGAGUAUAUGAACGAAUUCAAAUUCAAACAAAAUAAUUUGUCCAACAUUUAGAACCAGGUAACAAUUAUAUUUAAGAAAGUAUCUAAACAAAUCGCAACAAAGGAAAAUAUUGUUAAGAAAUGUAUCUAUAUUUUUUUAACUAAUUUUAUGCUGGAUGUUAUACAUUCUUAUCAAUAUGUUGUAUCCAUCCUGGCUUAUUAUACGCUCUUUCAAAAAUUUAAAUUUAUACACUUUAAAAAAAUAUUACAGAUUAAUUAAAUUUCCAAACAAUAUUUUUAAAAUAUUGUAAAAGUUGUCUAUAAAUCAAGCAUUUAUAUAGAAAUUUGUUUUCACAAAAAUACCAAACUAAAACCAAUAUUGAACUCUAGUUAAUAUUAGAAAACUUAAUCUUAUUUGGUCAAUCAUAUUUUGGAAAAGAAAUCCCCUAAACUUAAUGUAAAACAUUAAAAUUUUAAUGCCAGCAAUUAAAAUGCAUAUUGCCACAUAAAACCCAAGAUAUAUAUAUAUUAUUAUUAAUAAUAUUUCACAAUCCACAUGAUCCCUUCUUUUUCUAUGUAUAAUGUAUAAUAUUCACUCAACAGGAAAAACAAAACAGAUUCUUAAAAAAAAUAAACGAAAUAAAAUAAUUACUAAUAAAUUUUAUAUUCUUAUUUUCUACCUCAAAAUUUAAAUUCAGUAAAAGAUAUUUUUGGCACUAAAUAUAAACAACAACAACAACAACAACAAUAAUAAUAAUAAUAAUAAUAAUAAUAAUAAUAAUAAUAAUAAUAAUAAUAAUAAUAAUAAUAAUAAUAAUAAUAAUAAUAAUAAUAAUAAUAAUAAUAAUAAUAAUAAUAAUAAUAAUAAUAAUAAUAAUAAUAAUAAUAAUAAUAAUAAUAAUAAUAAUAAUAAUAAUAAUAAUAAUAAUAAUAAUAAUAAUAAUAAUAAUAAUAAUAAUAAUAAUAAUAAUAAUAAUAAUAAUAAUAAUAAUAAUAAUUAUAUAUCUAUAUAUUUGCACAGAUUGGCAUUAAAGCAGAAUGGAGAGCUCAUCAUGGGCAUCUUGUUCUUUUCUUGGGGAACAAGAAUACUUCACCUCUUGUCUCUGUUCAAGCUAUAAUAUUGCCUCCAACCCAUUUAAAGAUGGAGCUCUCACUAGUACCAGAAACUAUACCUCCACGGGCACAGGUAAGAAACCAUUGUUUUUGUUGUCUAUUGCUCUCAAGUUGUUAGUUUUCUUUACAUUUGCCCUCUUUUGGUUUGAUAGGUGCAAUGCCCACUUGAAGUCAUUAAUCUCCGCCCAAGCAGGGAUGUUGCUGUUGUUGACUUCUCCUACAAGUUUGGUAACGACAUGGUACUUAAAUUUAAAGAUGUGAAGUUAAAUGGAGGAUUUUUGCUGCAUUUGACAUAUACAACAGUCAUAAAACCUUAAUUCAUGUAUAUUCAUCUGUCAUUCCAUAGGUCAAUGUCAAACUUCGACUUCCUGCCAUCCUAAAUAAAUUUCUUCAGCCUAUACCUGUAUCUGCCGAGGAGUUUUUCCCUCAAUGGAGAUCACUUACUGGACCACCUUUGAAGCUUCAAGAAGUGGUAUGUAUUCUGCAUUAAGUACAAAGUGAAGUUUGUGUGCUCCUUCUUUAGCUUGUUAUUAUGGUCAUGCAGUGGUUCAUCUUUUUCGUUGGUAUUUCAGGUUAGAGGUGUUAAACCACUUCCAGUGCUUGAAAUGGCAAACUUAUUCAAUAGUUUCCAUUUGACAGUUUCUCCUGGGCUUGUAUGAUAUUGAAAAUCCCUCUAAUUUACUUCCCCUUUUCUUAUAUAUUUUCUUUGAAAUUCAUUAACAUCUAUUAAUUUUUUAACUUGUUUCUGCUUUAGGAUCCUAAUCCAAACAAUCUUGUUGCGAGCACAACAUUCUUUUCAGAAAGUACAAGGGCAAUGCUCUGUUUAGUAAGUAUAUAUGUGAAACUGCAUAUCAUGCAUUCCAGUCCCUGCAAAUAGUCAUUUAUUCUUUAAUAAUCUGAUAUAAAAUGGAGUGGAAAUGAAGGCAGAACUUUCCAUCUGCUUUUCAAGAUCAUAACGAUCAUUUUCUGUUAUUGUCUAUAUUGUUUUUUCUUAAAGAACCUCCACUUUUAGACAAAAAGACAGUAUAGGGCAUUUUUCUCUCCUGGAGAAGCCUUGGAUACUUGGAGGGGCCUUGUUUUUAAUUGAUUGUCAAAGUUAAACUAUGUUAGGUUUAUCUGCAAGUCAUUCAUGAUUGAAUUUAGAUGAUAACAUUGGUACUUGUUAUGUUUAUUAAUUGAAUUUCAUGUAAAUGAUAAUGCAGAUAAGAAUUGAAACAGAUCCAGCAGACAGAACCCAGCUGCGAAUGACAGUUGCUUCAGGGGACCCAACACUAACAUUUGAGUAUGUGAUGUAGUUUCCUACUCUACCGAUUAAUUCUGUAUAAAUUUUUUCGGGUACAAUUUGAUAUGUUUGGUAAAGUUGAUUAAAUUAUGAAGAAAAAAAACUUGUGAUGGGAAAAAACUAUUCACAGAAGCUAGAAGUUUUAAGCUUAUUUAAAAGUUAGAUUAUUUUGAAACGAAACACAUUUUUCCUAUCCUACCCCUUCCUUGUCUAUACAAAAUACUUCAUACCUUUUUAUUUUCUUUUGCAAUUUACACUAAUUAAUAUAAAAGCUACUUUUUUACCUAUCCAGAUGAAACAACGUAUCUUAAAAUUUGCUUUUCAUCAAACGUAUUUGAACAUAGAACUAUUCUGUUUUAAUCGCGAUUAUGCAUAUAAUUGGUUGAUGAAAAAAUCUAUUUUGGCAGCUACAUCUUUUACAGGUAAUUUUGAUAUUGAUUUGCAGGUUGAAGGAAUUCAUUAAGGAACAAUUAAUAGUCAUCCCAACAGUGACCCAUGCACCAACUCAAGCACCUCCUGGCCCACCUCCCUUGGCUCAACCGGCUAGUAAUCCGGCAGCAUUGACAGAUCCUGGGGCAAUGCUUGCUGCUCUUCUAUGACAAUACAAA